GACGAACGCUGGCGGCGUGCCUAAUACAUGCAAGUUGAGCGCUCAAGGGUGGUACUUGUACCAAUUGGAUGAGCAGCGGACGGGUGAGUAACGCGUGGGGAACCUGCCUUUGAGCGGGGGACAACAUUUGGAAACGAAUGCUAAUACCGCAUAAUAACUUUAAACACAAGGUUCAAGAUUGAAAGACGCAAUUGCAUUACCUAAUAAUGAUAUCGCGUUGUAUUAGGUAAGUGGGGAGGGAAAGGCUCGCCAAAGCGAUGAUUCAUAGGCGGACUGGGAAGGGGGACCGCCACAUUGGGACUGGAACACGGGCCAAACUCCUACGGGGAGCAGCAAGAGGGGAACUUCCGCAAUGGGCGGAAGGCUGGACGGGCAACGCCGGGUGGGUGGAGGAAGUUUUCGGGUCGUAAAACUCUGUUGAUUAGGAAAGACGUUAGGGGGAAUGAAAUGCGCAUGAAGUGACGGUAACUACCCAGAAAGGGACGGCUAACUACGUG
rnacentral:rRNA from 1 species